AAUAUUGAAUCCCAACACGAUGGCGUGUAUUUCAAUACUUGGAGAAGCAUCAUCCGUGCAAUGAGGCGUCUUGAGGAGCUUAUGCGGCAGAUGUGCCAAGCGGCAAAAGCCAUUGGAAACACGGAAUUAGAGAACAAAUUCGCGGACGGAAUUACAAAGAUCAAAAGAGACAUUGUGUUUGCAGCUAGCCUCUAUUUAUAAUCCAUCAGAAAAAUACCUUUGAUCUGCAAAUAUUUGAGUGUGAUAUGAUGUCAUCAUACCCAUAUAUGGGUUUUAUAUUACAUCAUAUAUGUUUAUCACAUGACACUUGAUAGCGUGAACAGACAUGUUAUUUACCCUUCGUAACUUGGGAUAAAUGGACAGAUUUACCACCAUUGCCUGUUGGUGGAAUGCAUGUUGCUGUUGACAUUAUUGAUGGGCUCUCAUAAAGUCGUGGAAAAAAACAAAUCAGUUCUGCAAAGAAACAUAUUUGUCAAUAUACUUAUUAUUGUAUGUAAAGCCAGCUGAAUCAGUGAAAGUCUCUCCCAUUAAUUUCUCAGCUAUUGACUGAUUGAUAAGGAUCUUAUUAAAAUAACCAUAUUCUCACUGGCCUUUUGAUGGUAAUAGAAGGUUUUGACUCAUGGCGUGUUUAUUAGGCAAUGUAAACCAUAUUGAUUCAGGCAUACUGCCUCUGGUGAGUAAAAUAUGAUAUAGUCAGUCAGGGCUUUCAUAUACCUGUACCUGGCAUUUAAUGGAAAACAUUGGUAACAGCAUGUAUGAGAGUAUGUCCAGGCCCAUGUAACCAUGGUACAUCAUGGUAGGCCAUGGUAUACCACCAAUGUAAAAGUAUUAUGGGUAUAAACAUACAUCAUGAUAGGUCAAUGACACUUGGUAUGGAGGUCAGUACAACACUUUACUUGGUGGUAGAAGGCAGAUAAUAGGCCUUUUUUAAAAAUGUACAUUUUCAGUGUUCUUCAGUUCUCAUCUUGCAUUUUGCGUAUUUUACAUUUCACAAACAAUAUAAUAUCUCAAACAUUAUUAAAACUCUUCUGUAUUUUUUUUAUAUAUCAAACUUUUAACAUUGCUUAAGCUUUUUCCAAACUAUCAAGUUUUCUUUGAAAAAGAAACCAUGGUACAUCUGUAUAUAGUCAUGAUGUGCCUAUAUAUGGUCAUGAUGUGAUGUUAUCGUGACCAUAUUUAGGCAUGUUUUUGUCAAAUAAAAUUUUAAUAGUCAACAGGGGUUGGAAGCAUUAGGCCCAUAAAAUAAUGAUUAGACUAUUACACCCCCUGGCAUCACUUUUGUCCGAAUCAUUGAAUAAUUAUUACUGUAUAUACUAUGUAUAUUUUCUUAACUGUAUUAUUGUUUGCUUAGUCAAAUACGAAUGAUAAAACUUCUCUCAUCACUUAUCCAAGAGGGCUAUGUUAAUAUUCUAAUCAUAUUUACAGUAUGUGGCCUUGAGAGAGUAAUUAUGGAUAUUUGAGGGCAAAAUGCUAGGAGCUCCUGUCUGUUUUCCACUGCUAUGUGGUUCCAAUAUCCAUAUUUUGUCGUACCUUAAAUUUUUUAUAACUUAAUCAAGAAUGUAAAAGCUUUAAAUACCAUUUUAUGUUGAAAAUAAAUAGUUUUUAUUGGAUCAAUCUA
rnacentral:lncRNA from 1 species